rnacentral:sRNA from 1 species
UUGAACAAGAUUGAUUUGCUGUUAGGUGGAAGACAUUUGAGAGGCUAUAAAAGGUAAUUCAGAGUUUACUGUGUUUUUGAAAAAUUGCUUAAGAUAUCUUCUAUGUUGAGAAAUGCUUAGAAGUGCUUCAUACAGUCUGUCACCAGUGGUUAUGAUCAUACAAACUAGUAGCAUCCCACUGUUGGUUUUUGCUGCAGCAUUUAGUGUAAUAAGUUACUUUUUCCUCUCUUGUAGAUGUGUUGCAGCACGCCAUAAUCCACAAGAAGCAUACUGGGAAAAGUCCCGUUGUGAACAAUAUUGGUACAAGUUGUUCUCCAUUGGAUGGGCUUACCAUACAAUAUUCUGAACAGAAUGGAAUUGUGGAUUGGAGAAAGCAAAGCUGUACCACCAUUCAGCACCCAGAGCACUGUGUGACCUCAGCUGACCAGCAUUCUGCUGAAAAACGGAGUUUAUCUUCAAUAAAUAAGAAGAAAGGAAAGCCACAAACAGAAAAGGAGAAAAUUAAGAAAACUGACAACAGAUUGAAUAGUAGAAUAAAUGGUAUUAGACUCUCCACUCCUCAGCAUGCCCACGGUGGUACUGUGAAAGAUGUGAAUUUGGACAUUGGCUCUGGACAUGACACAUGUGGAGAAACAUCUUCGGAGAGUUACAGUUCUCCAUCUAGUCCCCGACAUGAUGGAAGAGAAAGUUUGGAAAGUGAAGAAGAGAAAGACAGAGACACAGACAGCAAUUCUGAGGAUUCUGGGAAUCCAUCAACAACUAGGUUUACAGGUUACGGUUCUGUCAACCAGACUGUCACUGUCAAGCCACCUGUUCAAAUUGCUUCACUAGGAAAUGAGAAUGGCAACCUUUUAGAAGAUCCCUUAAACUCACCCAAGUAUCAGCAUAUUUCUUUUAUGCCAACUUUACACUGUGUCAUGCACAAUGGUGCCCAGAAGUCUGAAGUCGUCGUUCCUGCACCCAAACCCGCUGAUGGCAAAACCAUAGGGAUGCUUGUUCCUAGUCCUGUUGCUAUUUCUGCAAUAAGGGAGUCCGCAAAUUCAACCCCUGUUGGAAUACUAGGGCCAACAGCUUCCACUGGAGAAUCGGAAAAGCACCUUGAGUUACUGGCUUCCCCUUUACCUAUUCCAUCAACCUUCCUUCCACACAGUAGUGCUCCCGCUUUGCAUCUAACAGUUCAGAGGCUAAAGUUGCCACCACCACAGGGAUCUUCUGAGAGCUGCACAGUUAACAUCCCACAACAACCACCCGGAAGUCUGAGCAUCGCAUCACCAAACACUGCCUUUAUUCCUAUCCAUAACCCAGGUAGUUUCCCAGGCUCUCCUGUUGCUACCACGGACCCCAUCACAAAAUCUGCAUCCCAAGUGGUAGGACUCAAUCAAAUGGUGCCUCAAAUUGAGGGAAACACAGGGACAGUCCCUCAGCCUACCAAUGUGAAGGUAGUUCUUCCAGCGGCUGGCCUUUCAGCUGCUCAGCCACCAGCUUCCUACCCCUUAGCAGGGUCUCCCCUUGCUGCCGGCGUGUUACCCAGCCAGAACUCCAGUGUGCUCAGCACAGCAGCAACUUCCCCCCAGCCAGCGAGCGCAGGUAUUAGCCAGGCCCAGGCGACUGUUCCUCCUGCGGUUCCUACCCACACCCCAGGCCCUGCCCCAAGCCCGAGUCCUGCCUUGACACACAGUACCGCGCAGAGUGACAGCACCUCUUACAUCAGUGCUGUGGGGAACACGAACGCUAAUGGGACAGUAGUGCCACCACAGCAGAUGGGCUCAGGUCCUUGUGGUUCUUGUGGGCGAAGGUGCAGCUGUGGGACCAAUGGAAACCUUCAGCUAAAUAGUUACUAUUAUCCUAAUCCAAUGCCUGGACCAAUGUACCGAGUCCCUUCAUUCUUUACUCUGCCAUCCAUUUGCAAUGGCAGCUACCUCAACCAAGCACAUCAGAGCAAUGGAAACCAACUUCCUUUUUUUCUGCCUCAGACUCCAUAUGCAAAUGGACUGGUACAUGACCCAGUCAUGGGGAGCCAAGCCAACUAUGGCAUGCAGCAGAUGGCAGGAUUUGGGAGAUUCUAUCCUGUAUAUCCAGCACCUAACGUAGUUGCCAACACCAGUGGUUCGGGGCCCAAGAAGAAUGGGAAUGUCUCAUGUUACAAUUGUGGUGUAAGCGGACACUAUGCACAGGACUGUAAGCAGUCGUCCAUGGAGGCCAAUCAACAAGGCACUUACAGACUGAGAUACGCACCUCCCCUCCCCCCUUCUAAUGAUACGUUGGAUUCUGCAGACUGAAACGAGUAAAGCUUGCCUACUUAAUACACUCAAGUGUGGGGAGUCAUGGGGUGUGGAGGGGAGGAAAGGAAAGGUAUUUUGUUUCUUUGUCUAUACAUUUCCUAGAUUUCUAUGCAGUUGAGAUUUUUCAUUUCCCUUGUACCAAUGUCC